CUGUCCAUACUUGCGUUCAGUUUUAAUUCGGUCCCCGUAUUAAUCGGCAAAAUUCUUCAAUUGGAGAGUAUUUUUUAAUUUUUUUUUUAAUAACUUGGGUGCUAAUGAAAAGAUCGAAGAGAAGAUUUGCGAUCACCGAUAAAUUCCUUCCCAGGCUAGCUAAAAACCUGUGCACCCGAAAAGGCAGUCGUAGAGCGAACACCGGCAACCGUCUGGAACACGCGGUGCUCACCCACAUCCAACACGUGCCAUAGAUCACACGCCUGACGUCUACUCAUCCAUCCCCAUCGCUUCAUCACCCAAACACGAUGGCCCGCGGCGACGAAAUCAAAACCGCUAGCAAAGCUUCCUUUGUUAAACAAUUCGACUUCCCAGCUCCACUUAAAAAACCAAUGAUCGCACCAACUCAGCCACCUAAAAUGCAAGAGAAAAAGGACUAUGGCGCCUGGGGCUCCGUAUUCAAAGACAAGAAAACGUUCACGGACAUGCACUUCUGCUAAACUGACCUGCUCAUCAUCAUCGCUUUAAGUUAAUCGUCAUAAAACACCUAGUUGUAAAGCACCAACCAAAAUUGACUGUAUAAAAUCGGCAAAUAAAUUUAAGGGAUAAGUUUUUAUGGCGUUUAGCAUUUCUUCUUCGUAUCUACUUGGUUCUUUGGUAUCGCGUACUAACCCUGUCAUGUAAUUCAUGUUAACAGAUUAAAUAGCAUCAUUCAUGAAA